rnacentral:rRNA from 1 species
CAAGUCAUCAUCGGUCCUUACGGCCUGGGCUACACACGUGCUACAAUGGUCGGUACAAAGGGUUGCCAAGCCGCGAGGUGGAGCUAAUCCCAUAAAACCGAUCGUAGUCCGGAUCGCAGUCUGCAACUCGACUGCGUGAAGUCGGAAUCGCUAGUAAUCGUGAAUCAGAAUGUCCACGGUCCGAAUACGUUCCGGGCCUU